UUGAGUCGAAUGUGUCAGACACCGUAUCCUCUGUGCCUUCUGAUUCAUCUGAUGCAACAAUAACUCUUGAGAACGAUGGUGGGAGGAAAAGGACCCACGACGAUCGGGAAUCAGCUGAAGCGAUGGUGAGAGAUGUUCUUCAGUCCAAGCCAGGGGGAGAAAAGGUGUUGCAUGAAUAUGACAAAAUGAAGACAUUGACGGAUGGUACCCGGCGACAUAUGAUAAACCUACUGGUGGCUGACAUGAUUGAAGUUCAUGGGAGGAUCCCACCAACCUAUGUGCGAACAAAAUACGCUCUUGGCAUUAUAACUCUAUUUCCUUACCUCGGGGAUCCUUACUCAAAAAAUGGAUAUGAGCACUUCUAUGAUGCUGACAGUGGAUCUGGUUAUUUGGCCUGGAGGAUAAAGACAGUCCAGCGCAACAUUGCAGUUCUAUCUCGGAGAUGCUCAACCACCUGUACCUAUCAAGCUGGACCAAAAAGCAAGAGAGAUUUUCUCCUAACUGACAAUCAACUGUCUGGCGAGGAAUGCCGUGAGGCAAUCUCCAUAUUGAAACAUACAACUGAUGAAUCGGUUGUCAAAGAGAAAAUGAGGGCAACA